CCUACGGGGCGCAGCAGUGAGGAAUAUUGGUCAAUGGGCGCUAGCCUGAACCAGCCAAGUAGCGUGAAGGAUGACUGCCCUAUGGGUUGUAAACUUCUUUUAUAUGGGAAUAAAGUGCAGUAUGUAUACUGCUUUGCAUGUACCUUAUGAAUAAGGAUCGGCUAACUCCGUGCCAGCAGCCGCGGUAAUACGGAGGAUGCGAGCGUUAUCCGGAUUUAUUGGGUUUAAAGGGUGCGUAAGCGGUUUUUUAAGUUAGUGGUUAAACGUCGGGGCUUCACCUUGAUUUGCCAUUAAUACUGUAAGAC
rnacentral:rRNA from 1 species